rnacentral:rRNA from 1 species
AUACGUAGGGGGCGAGCGUUGUCCGGAAUGAUUGGGCGUAAAGGGCGCGUAGGCGGCCCGGUAAGUCUGGAGUGAAAGUCCUGUUUUUAAGAUGGGAAUUGCUUUGGAUACUGUCGGGCUUGAGUGCAGGAGAGGUAAGUGGAAUUCCCAGUGUAGCGGUGAAAUGCGUAGAGAUUGGGAGGAACACCAGUGGCGAAGGCGACUUACUGGACUGUAACUGACGCUGAGGCGCGAAAGUGUGGGGAGCAAACAGGAUUAGAUACCCUGGUAGUCCACACUGUAAACGAUGAAUGCUAGGUGUAGGGGGUAUCGACCCCUUCUGUGCCGCAGUCAACACAAUAAGCAUCCCGCCUGGGGAGUACGGCCGCAAGGUUGAAACUCAAAUGAAUUGACGGGG